rnacentral:miRNA from 1 species
CCCGAUAUCCACGACCCAUACC